rnacentral:lncRNA from 1 species
CCGAGUCCCAGCUCUUGGUUUGCGCCUUGGCCUCGGGAUCUUCCGGGUCCCACCGCGCGCUGCUCGCGGGCAAGCCGCUGGGCUCUGGCGCCUUGAGCAUCCGAGCAGGUCCUGCCCCCGCCGUAGGCGUGGGGACCUAGAGCUGCCCUCCGCUCCUUGUCCCGGGCCAGAGGCGGACACUAGGCGGUAGAAGCAGCUGCAGGGUCUGCCCUGCCCCCGCCCCGCGCGGAGAGCUGCUGCCAGGAACAGCAAUAUUAAUAGGUACAAACUUCCUGGAAAGAUUUUCGUCUUCGCGGUAAAUGACCCCUCCUUGUCUGCCGGGGCAGGCGACGGGGAAGCCUGGGACCCACAGGAGCCAGGGACAUUUGGGACCCAUGGAGCUGUGGCUCACGAGAGCUGAGGUUCAUUGGUUGGGGACCCACUCGGUGGGCAGGUCACAGACACCGUAGGGCAGGGCUGGGCUCGCCUUGGUAAAUUAGGCGUUGGAGCCGCGACGCCCGAUUGCCAUUCCUCGGGAGCGCGCACGCCCUGGGCCACCCCGCCCGUAUGCAGCGGCCGUAGCUCCUCCUCCGGAUCGGGCUUCGGGGACCUUUGGUCACUUAGGAGCACCCAAACAACUCUGCAGCUGGUGCCCAUAGGUGCGCGUCAUUCCUUUCUCUAGAAUUACCUGGCCCAGAAGCAGUUGUAGCCAAAGCCACCUCUCUCUUUCCCAGUCGCCAAGAGAGGACGGAUCAGGAAGCGUCCCACCGGCCGCUUGGGCGCUGUGUGGUCAGUCCAUGCCUGCAUCUUGCGGAUAGUCAGGUCCCAGUGCCUCCGCAGGAGGCUCACUCCCCGUACGGUGGCUGGAGUUCCCAAACCCUUUUUUUUUUUUACAACUCUGGACAGGGCGCCUGUUCUAGAUUGGUUGGAGGUGUUUUCCCACCUGAAAGUCAUCAUUCAUUGAAAAUAUUUAUUGAAGCCGAUGUGGUGGGAAGCUUGUAAUUCCAGCACUCUGGAGGCAGAGGGAAGAGGAUCUCCCAUAGGUAAAGUUAGCCAGGUACUGAGCCCUUGACUUAAACAAACAAAUUAUCGCUACAAAGCAAACACAAAAAUCCUCUUUCCCAAAACUUGAAAAAAAAAAAAAAAAGACAGAAUUGAAACAUACAUGUGGGCAGAUGGCCAUGGAAGCUCACGGGAGGAGAGGCAGGAAGAGGAUGGAGCAGGACAGAGCUGUGUAGACGUGUUUAGUGUUGGGACUGGGUGGUUGGGAAAGAGCAAGCCAGCCUCACAGGCUCACUCCCAAAGAUGAAGACUGGCCCUGCUGGUUCCACCGGUGGUGUGGGAGUCAGAACGGCAGUUUGGGGCAUGCUGGGUUUGAUGCACACAUUGGACAUCCAAGGGUAGGGCGGAACAGAUACUGGUCAGACAGGUCUCCAUGCGAGAUGCGAGACAGGGGAAAACACCUGAAGGAACCACCAGCCAGCCACCUCUGCUUAUGGAGUGCGUGACGGUACAGUAUGCGUAGGUGUAGCUAGCUUGAAACUCUCUGUAGAUCAGGCUGGCCUCGAUGGAAAGAUCAGCCUGCCUCAGUCUCCUGAGUUGCUGUCAUCCCAGUCGGAACUAAAAAAUUUAAAUUUAACUAAUUUAAAUUGAAAACAGGUUAUUGACUCAGUUAUUUGAAAAUCUUUAUUCUGUCUGAAACAACUAGGGUAUAGACAUCUGUUUUUUCAAUGGCUUUCACAUUGGGUGGUUUAUAGUCGCCUCUAAGUCCAGCUCCCUGGAGUCAGAAAC